rnacentral:rRNA from 1 species
GAUGAACGCUGGCGGCGUGCCUAAUACAUGCAAGUCGAGCGAACAGACGAGGAGCUUGCUCCUCUGACGUUAGCGGCGGACGGGUGAGUAACACGUGGAUAACCUACCUAUAAGACUGGGAUAACUUCGGGAAACCGGAGCUAAUACCGGAUAAUAUAUUGAACCGCAUGGUUCAAUAGUGAAAGACGGUUUUGCUGUCACUUAUAGAUGGAUCCGCGCCGCAUUAGCUAGUUGGUAAGGUAACGGCUUACCAAGGCGACGAUGCGUAGCCGACCUGAGAGGGUGAUCGGCCACACUGGAACUGAGACACGGUCCAGACGCCUACGGGAGGCAGCAGUAGGGAAUCUGCCGCAAUGGGCGAAAGCCUGACGGAGCAACGCCGCGUGAGUGAUGAAGGUCUUCGGAUCGUAAAACUCUGUUAUUAGGGAAGAACAAAUGUGUAAGUAACUAUGCACGUCUUGACGGUACCUAAUCAGAAAGCCACGGCUAACUACGUG